rnacentral:rRNA from 1 species
CACGUAGGGGGCAAGCGUUGUCCGGAUUCAUUGGGCGUAAAGAGCUCGUAGGCGGUUCGAUAAGUCGGGUGUGAAACCUCCAGGCUCAACCUGGAGACGCCACCCGAUACUGUCGUGACUAGAGUCCAGUAGGGGAGCGUGGAAUUCCUGGUGUAGCGGUGAAAUGCGUAGAGAUCCGGAGGAACACCAGAGGCGAAGGCGGCCUACUGGGCUGCACCUGACGCUGAGCCGCGAAAGCCAGGGGAGCGAACGGG